rnacentral:ncRNA from 1 species
CUUAUCGAGAGUGGCGGAGGGACCGGCCCGAUGAAGCCCGACAACCUGCACAGCGCUGCAAGGUGCCAAUUCCGGCGAUGAAACAUCGACAGAUGAGG